GACGUCAAGUCCUCAUGGCCCUUAUGUCCUGGGCUACACACGUGCUACAAUGGCCGGUACAAAGUGCUGCGAACUCGCGAGAGUAAGCCAAUCACAAAAAGCCGGUCUCAGUACGGAUUGCAGUCUGCAACUCGACUGCAUGAAGCCGGAAUCGCUAGUAAUCGUUGAUCAGCAGGCAACGGUGAAUACGUUCCCGGGCCUU
rnacentral:rRNA from 1 species